ACACGGGACCAAAGGAGUCCGACAGGUACGCGAGUCGGGUAGGCUACGCAAAGCCCGUCGGCGCAGUGAAGGUGAACGCUGAGGUGCGAUGCUGGUCGUUAGCGCGGCUGGUCGCAGCACCGACCCAUCUCGGUCGCGACGUCGACGAGGUGGAGUAUGAGCGUACCUGUUGGGACCCGAAAGAUGGUGAACUAUGGCUGGGUAGGUUGAAGCCAGAGGAAACUCUGGUGGAGGUCCGUAGCGAUUCUGACGUGCAAAUCGAUCGUCUGAUCUGGCUAUAGGGGCGAAAGACUAAUCGAACCAUCUAGUAGCUGGUUCCCUCCGAAGUUUCCCUCAGGAUAGCUGGCGCUCNCGCGNACGUNGGUUUUAUCUGGUAAAGCGAAUGAUUAGAGGCCUUGGGGCCGCAACGACCUCAACCUAUUCUCAAACUUUCAAUGGGUAAGAAGCCCGGCUCGCCUAAUCGGAGCCGGGCGUUUAUGAGAACACGAGUGCCCUAGUGGGCCAUUUUUGGUAAGCAGAACUGGUGACGUGGGAUGAACCAAAAGCCGGGUUAAGGCGCCUAAUGCNUGACGCUCAUCAGAACCCAGAAAAGGUGUUGGUU
rnacentral:rRNA from 1 species